UACGAAGGGGGCUAGCGUUGUUCGGAAUUACUGGGCGUAAAGCGCGCGCAGGCGGUCUUCCAAGUCAGUGGUGAAAGCCCGGAGCUCAACUCCGGAAUUGCCAUUGAAACUGUUAGACUUGAGGAUGAGAGAGGUGAGUGGAAUUCCCAGUGUAGAGGUGAAAUUCGUAGAUAUUGGGAAGAACACCGGUGGCGAAGGCGGCUCACUGGCUCAUUACUGACGCUCAGGCGCGACAGCGUGGGGAUCAAACAGG
rnacentral:rRNA from 1 species